AAUAUUGGACAAUGGGGGCAACCCUGAUCCAGCCAUGCCGCGUGUGUGAAGAAGGUCUUCGGAUUGUAAAGCACUUUAAGUUGGGAGGAAGGGCUUUAGGCUAAUACCCUGAAGUUUUGACGUUACCAACAGAAUAAGCACCGGCUAACUUCGUGCCAGCAGCCGCGGUAAUACGAAGGGUGCAAGCGUUAAUCGGAAUUACUGGGCGUAAAGCGCGCGUAGGUGGUUCGUUAAGUUGGAAGUGAAAGCCCCGGGCUUAACCUGGGAAUUGCUUUCAAAACUGACGAGCUAGAGUACGGUAGAGGGUAGUGGAAUUUCCUGUGUAGCGGUGAAAUGCGUAGAUAUGUGGAGGAAUACCGAUGGCGAAGGCAGCCCCCUGGGAUAAUACUGACGCUCAGACACGAAAGCGUGGGGAGCAAAUAGG
rnacentral:rRNA from 1 species